UCCGAUAUGGUGUAGUAGUGGCUAACAUCGCUCGCUCUCACCGAGCAGCCCUGGGUUCGAUUCCCAGUAUCGGAG
rnacentral:tRNA from 1 species